UGUUUAAUCUCUCCUUGAUGCAUGUGUUUAUUUACAAGUACUAAAUCUGAAGAACAUUAAAAUAGGAAAUAGCAGGAUAUUUACACGAUCAAAGGGUGCUUGACCAGCCACGCUGGCCUGUUGCUUCAAGUCUGAAACAAUCACAGAAAGGGAAUCAGGACUCCGGAGUGUGAUUCUUUUUUUUCCCCCAUUUAAUUUUCUAAAACUAUCAGAAUUCUCCGCCUCUCGCCAGGUCCACCUUAGGUUUCCCCCUGCUUUCUCAAAGGACAGCUUGUUGUGCGCUUUGGUCGGGAGCGGGUGAGCCUGCGGGGGUCCCCCACAUCCCCCUGCUCCCUGUCCCCAGGCUGGGGCCAGCUCUGGGUGUGACAUGGGGCUCCUACUAAGGGGGACACUGCCAGCCCAGACUGCACAUGUUUUAACCCCAAACCAAAAGGCAACAAGAGCAGGGAGAGACCUCCUUGCUUGCAGUGGUGGGGAUCAACCUGCACAGUCCAGCUGCCUCUGGUGGGGGGCCAGAGCAGAGGGCCCAGAAAUGCAGGCUCACAACAAAGGAUGCUUCUCCAUCUCACCCUAUUCUGGGGCAAGGGCUGCACCAGCAGUAAGAGGAGUCUUGUGGAUGCUUCCCAACUUCUCCACACCUUUCCCCCUUCCGAGGCAGGGUCUGACAGGGUCGGUUGUGACCCCACCAGGCCGGUCAAGGGAGGGUGGGCAGCUGCCUGGCACAAUUAAGGACGCUGGGCAUCAUGCGAAAGGCAAAGGUAGCACCAAGAAGUGCCAGAGGCUGCGGGCAGCACUGCAGUGCCCACCUCGCUGAGCAGCACCCUCCUGUUAGGGGCAGCAAGGGGACCCCUGAGCCAUGGGGAGCUGCUGGGGCAUCCUUCAGUGGAGCAAACCACAGACACCCCAAAGCUCUCCAGGGGGAAGCCAACAGGAACUCAUCCCAAGGAUCACACUACUGGCAGUCAGCAUCACCAGGGGGCUGGAAGAGCCAGGUCACAGCACAAGGGAUGCCCAGAAAGCAGAGCCACACCAUGGAACUGCCAGCCUGCCCAGCAUGACCUCCUCAGGAGCCCCUCUGCUGCCCAAAUCCAUCCCAGACCCACCAUGGCCAAAAAACUCACCUGUCCCUCCAGGCUGGCUGCGGGAGCACCCCCAGCAUUGGUGCUGGGAAAGCAACAGGCUAAUAGUCCUCAGCAAUUAACGGUGCUUCCAACCCUCUGUGUCAAAAGGGAAACUUUCAGGGAGGUGUUCUUAGAAACACAUCUCCAUCCCCUCGGAACCACCACAAAACCCACGUGCUUGGCUGCCCCAACAGCAACCAAAGCUCCCCCAGACACUCUUACCACUGCAACAGGCAGAACCCACUCCAGUCCUGGACAGAGACCUCAGAGCCAUCGCUCCCCUUCCAUCACACCGCAGUGGUCACCGAUGCAUUGCCGCCAUCCUCCAGGCCAUUUCCAGGACCUCCACCAGCACCACGCAGCCAGCAAUGCCACAGGGAAGAAGUUUUGCCCCAAAGAGAGCUGCAGGCACCCCUCCACCCCAUCACAGCAGCUGUGAAUCCUACAAAGGGACCCCCGGAGGGUUCUGUCCCACCAGAGCACCCAGGGAGAUGCUGGCAGCCAGCAGUGGCCCCAGCACAGGGCACACAGCUGUCCUUUAAGGCUCUCCAAGUACCACAUUUGAGAUGUGAACCUCUAAAGUCUUUCUUUUUGCUGUUUUUUUUUUUUCUUUUGGACGAGAAAGUGGCAAAUUAAUUUCAAAUUAAAAAAAAUAUGUAACAGGUCUAAACAAACCUCUAAUAUUCAAUACUCGCAGUUUCUUUGUUUUAUGGGUUUUUUUCUUCUGUUUCUUAAAAAGAUCAACUCAGACUAAAAUCUAGCACAGUCAUGCAACAGCCCACAGCUCUCAGAAAUCCAGCGACAGCUCAGGGUUUGUAGGUUUGGGAAACAAUUAAAAAUUCUUUUUCAAACAGUUUUGCUGUUGUGGUUGGAUUCUUUUGUCGUCUCUUUUUUUUCUUUUCUUUUUUUUUAAUCAGCAUCUUUUCUCCUUUCCCUCCUUAUUAAAACAAAACAAAACCAAACAAAAUUACAACAUAAUGAGAGAUGUGCAGUCUUCAAACGGUUGUUCUGUGUGGUGAGAAAGGCUUGGAAGUUCCUUCCACACCAUUUGGUAUCCUUUUUUAAUUUUUUUUUUUUUUUUUGCAGUGGUUGUUUGUUUUGUUUUAACUGGCUGUGUAAAUUCAUCUCAUUUUUAUAUUGGUUC
rnacentral:lncRNA from 1 species